CUCUGCCUCACUAUACCAGCUUUAGCUUCAUUGCAGCUUUGCAGAUAAAACGAAGCCAACAAGUAUUAGCGGAUGAGCAGAGCUCUAUCCCUACGGCGCCUCAAUGGCGUCACAGAAGACACCAGAGGAAGGCUCGGCAAGAGCAGCAUUCAGCGCGAAAUCCCCGUUCUGCUUUGUUAUUUUUGAUAGUUCCAAGUCAUUUUAAAGAGCUUUUUUCCACCCCCUGACUGACAGGCUUAGAGAAUCGUUGUGGAAAAACUGCUUCUCUUUUUUCUUUAAUUAAAAGUUGUAUAAGGUGUCUCUAUCAAAGGGGGUGAUAUAUGUUUUGCCAAAAAACCCUGGAAUAAUGUUCUUGGCCUGGGCAAUAUAUUCUAUAAAUGUCAAUUUCCUUAAAAAGAGCUAUAAGAUGAUUAGACCACAUCAUUUAUAUUGGGAUGGUCUGUGUUGCGUUAUAGGUAUACUUUUCUGUACUCCAGCAGGUUAUUUUUCAGCAGUUUCUUAUACAUCUACACCUAUUUGAUAAAAAAAAUGUGCCAGUGAGACAUUUGGGGUAAAGCUUUUGAUUCAGAGAUGCCUUUUUUAGAACUAUUUUACAAAAAGACAAAACCAUAUCGCAAUAAAUAUCGCAUAUCGGCAUUCAGUCUAAAAAUAUCGAGAUUAUUGUAGGGUGAGCAAACACACACUAGCUAGGCUCCUCUACUGCUUACAUCCAAAGUGGACAUAACCAGGCAUCAGGAUACCGGAUUUCUACUUUGCUCGACUAUUUUAUAAACAAAUUUAGACCAAAAUCAUUUCCAACAAAAACUACUUCCAAUAAAUGUCUCCUUCACACAGGAAGAAACUAAUGGAUUCCAUCAUUUGAGUUUAAACAGAAGGACCAACACUGCUUGUGCUCUUGACCUUCUUGCAAAGGGCAAACAGAAAGUGUGAUUUGCUCAGUGAUAGAAACUAAAGUACAGUAAUUGCUUCUUUAAUUCAACGGCAACGUGUGACGUGACAUAGGAAACUCUGAGCUUAUUCGCUGUUGUCUUCACCGAGCAGUUAAAGGUCAAGUCAGCUCGUGUGCUCAGGUUCGUCCGACACCGUGGAGCUGGCCUCGGUACAUCAUCCGGCCUUUGUUGACAGCAAGAUGGCUGUGAAACGUCAAAAACACCUGCAACAUGCUACUCUGGGUGCGAGUUAAUCCUGUAAAGUAAUAUCACUCAUAUAGCCAGGAGCUUUGAGAAGAGUAGAAUAUUUGUAAUCUCAUAUAUGUUAUGUUCUUUUUCCUCAUUUUACAUACAAUUAAUAUACAUACCCAGCUGUUUAUGCUUUGCCAUAAAGUGCCAUAGUGUUUAUCUGCUUACAUUUCUAGUUUCGGAUGGAUUAUAAAGAUUCAUUGCUACAUCUAGUUCAAAGUCUAGUAGACCUGAUGUCCCAUGGAUAAUCUGUACCGACAUGAUUAUCAGAUUUGUAAAAAUUUAAAAAGAAAA